rnacentral:rRNA from 2 species
GGUUAAGCGACUAAGCGUACACGGUGGAUGCCCUGGCAGUCAGAGGCGAUGAAGGGCGUGCUAAUCUGCGAUAAGCGCCGGUAAGGUGAUAUGAACCGUUAUAACCGGCGAUACCCGAAUGGGGAAACCCAGUGUGACUCGUCACACUAUCAUUAACUGAAUCCAUAGGUUAAUGAGGCGAACCGGGGGAACUGAAACAUCUAAGUACCCCGAGGAAAAGAAAUCAACCGAGAUUCCCCCAGUAGCGGCGAGCGAACGGGGAGGAGCCCAGAGCCUGAAUCAGCAUGUGUGUUAGUGGAAGCGUCUGGAAAGGCGCGCGAUACAGGGUGACAGCCCCGUACACAAAAGCGCAUGUGCUGUGAGCUCGAUGAGUAGGGCGGGACACGUGGUAUCCUGUCUGAAUAUGGGGGGACCAUCCUCCAAGGCUAAAUACUCCUGACUGACCGAUAGUGAACCAGUACCGUGAGGGAAAGGCGAAAAGAACCCCGGCGAGGGGAGUGAAAAAGAACCUGAAACCGUGUACGUACAAGCAGUGGGAGCACAGGUUUACCUGUGUGACUGCGUACCUUUUGUAUAAUGGGUCAGCGACUUAUAUUCUGUAGCAAGGUUAACCGAAUAGGGGAGCCGGAGGGAAACCGAGUCUUAAUUGGGCGUUAAGUUGCAGGGUAUAGACCCGAAACCCGGUGAUCUAGCCAUGGGCAGGUUGAAGGUUGGGUAACACUAACUGGAGGACCGAACCGACUAAUGUUGAAAAAUUAGCGGAUGACCUGUGGCUGGGGGUGAAAGGCCAAUCAAACCGGGAGAUAGCUGGUUCUCCCCGAAAGCUAUUUAGGUAGCGCCUCGUGAAUUCAUCUCCGGGGGUAGAGCACUGUUUCGGCUAGGGGGCCAUCCCGGCUUACCAACCCGAUGCAAACUGCGAAUACCGGAGAAUGUUAUCACGGGAGACACACGGCGGGUGCUAACGUCCGUCGUGAAGAGGGAAACAACCCAGACCGCCAGCUAAGGUCCCAAAGUCAUGGUUAAGUGGGAAACGAUGUGGGAAGGCCCAGACAGCCAGGAUGUUGGCUUAGAAGCAGCCAUCAUUUAAAGAAAGCGUAAUAGCUCACUGGUCGAGUCGGCCUGCGCGGAAGAUGUAACGGGGCUAAACCAUGCACCGAAGCUGCGGCAGCGACACUGUGUGUUGUUGGGUAGGGGAGCGUUCUGUAAGCCUGCGAAGGUGUCCCGUGAGGGAUGCUGGAGGUAUCAGAAGUGCGAAUGCUGACAUAAGUAACGAUAAAGCGGGUGAAAAGCCCGCUCGCCGGAAGACCAAGGGUUCCUGUCCAACGUUAAUCGGGGCAGGGUGAGUCGACCCCUAAGGCGAGGCCGAAAGGCGUAGUCGAUGGGAAACGGGUUAAUAUUCCCGUACUUGGUGUUACUGCGAAGGGGGGACGGAGAAGGCUAUGUUGGCCGGGCGACGGUUGUCCCGGUUUAAGCGUGUAGGUGUGUGUUCCAGGUAAAUCCGGUUCACUUUAACACUGAGGCGUGACGACGAGGCACUACGGUGCUGAAGCAACAAAUGCCCUGCUUCCAGGAAAAGCCUCUAAGCAUCAGGUAACAUCAAAUCGUACCCCAAACCGACACAGGUGGUCAGGUAGAGAAUACCAAGGCGCUUGAGAGAACUCGGGUGAAGGAACUAGGCAAAAUGGUGCCGUAACUUCGGGAGAAGGCACGCUGACACGUAGGUGAAGUGAUUUACUCAUGGAGCUGAAGUCAGUCGAAGAUACCAGCUGGCUGCAACUGUUUAUUAAAAACACAGCACUGUGCAAACACGAAAGUGGACGUAUACGGUGUGACGCCUGCCCGGUGCCGGAAGGUUAAUUGAUGGGGUCAGCGCAAGCGAAGCUCCUGAUCGAAGCCCCGGUAAACGGCGGCCGUAACUAUAACGGUCCUAAGGUAGCGAAAUUCCUUGUCGGGUAAGUUCCGACCUGCACGAAUGGCGUAAUGAUGGCCAGGCUGUCUCCACCCGAGACUCAGUGAAAUUGAACUCGCUGUGAAGAUGCAGUGUACCCGCGGCAAGACGGAAAGACCCCGUGAACCUUUACUAUAGCUUGACACUGAACAUUGAGCCUUGAUGUGUAGGAUAGGUGGGAGGCUUUGAAGUGUGGACGCCAGUCUGCAUGGAGCCGACCUUGAAAUACCACCCUUUAAUGUUUGAUGUUCUAACGUGGACCCGUAAUCCGGGUUGCGGACAGUGUCUGGUGGGUAGUUUGACUGGGGCGGUCUCCUCCUAAAGAGUAACGGAGGAGCACGAAGGUUGGCUAAUCCUGGUCGGACAUCAGGAGGUUAGUGCAAUGGCAUAAGCCAGCUUGACUGCGAGCGUGACGGCGCGAGCAGGUGCGAAAGCAGGUCAUAGUGAUCCGGUGGUUCUGAAUGGAAGGGCCAUCGCUCAACGGAUAAAAGGUACUCCGGGGAUAACAGGCUGAUACCGCCCAAGAGUUCAUAUCGACGGCGGUGUUUGGCACCUCGAUGUCGGCUCAUCACAUCCUGGGGCUGAAGUAGGUCCCAAGGGUAUGGCUGUUCGCCAUUUAAAGUGGUACGCGAGCUGGGUUUAGAACGUCGUGAGACAGUUCGGUCCCUAUCUGCCGUGGGCGCUGGAGAACUGAGGGGGGCUGCUCCUAGUACGAGAGGACCGGAGUGGACGCAUCACUGGUGUUCGGGUUGUCAUGCCAAUGGCACUGCCCGGUAGCUAAAUGCGGAAGAGAUAAGUGCUGAAAGCAUCUAAGCACGAAACUUGCCCCGAGAUGAGUUCUCCCUGAGACUUAGAGUCUCCUGAAGGAACGUUGAAGACGACGACGUUGAUAGGCCGGGUGUGUAAGCGCAGCGAUGCGUUGAGCUAACCGGUACUAAUGAACCGUGAGGCUUAACCUU